CUACGGAGGGUCCGAGCGUUAUCCGGAAUCAUUGGGGUUAAAGGGUCCGUAGGCGGGAAUCUAAGUCAGUGGUGAAAUCUUGCAGCUCAACUGUAAAAUUGCCAUUGAUACUGGAUUUCUUGAAUUAGUGUGAAGUGGUUAGAAUGUGUAGUGUAGCGGUGAAAUGCAUAGAUAUUACACAGAAUACCAAUUGCGAAGGCAGAUCACUAACACUAUAUUGACGCUAAGGGACGAAAGCGUGGGGAGCGAACAGGAUUAGAAACCCCAGUAGUCC
rnacentral:rRNA from 1 species